rnacentral:misc_RNA from 1 species
AAUGAUCUCAUGAAGCUCAUCUUACAACUGGGAUUACUAUAUCAUAGAAUAGCCAGAUAAGUGCUAUUUAGAUAAUUCCUAUCUCGUGGCACUCAAAGCACAAGACUGGGCAUACAACUUAUCCUAUUAACAUACCAUCCUCCCAUGAUCAAUAUUAUCCGAUAUAAGUUCUUAAACCAUUAUAAUUCACAAGUUACGAGGUUGUUAUAAUAGGAUAAA